AUUGAACGCUGGCGGCAGGCCUAACACAUGCAAGUCGAGCGAGCGGCGGACGGGUGAGUAAUGUGUGGAGCUCUGCCCGGUAGAGGGGUAUAACUACUGGAAACGGUGGCUAAUACCGCAUACUAUCGUGUGAACCCAUAUGGGAUUCGCUAGUAGGUGGGGUAAAGGCUCACCUAGGCGACGAUCUCUAGCUGGUCUGAGAGGAUGAUCAGCCAAACUGGGACUGAGACACGGACCAGACUCCUACGGGAGGGAGCAGUGGGGAAUAUUGCAAAAUGGGCGCAAGCCUGAUGCAGCCAUGCCGCGUGUAUGAAGAAGGCCUUCGGGUUGUAAAGUACUUUCAGCGGGGAGGCGGUAACGACAGAAGAAGCACCGGCUAACUCCGUGCCAGCCGCCGCGGUAAUUC
rnacentral:rRNA from 1 species